rnacentral:rRNA from 14 species
GCAUUAAGCACUCCGCCUGGGGAGUACGACCGCAAGGUUGAAACUCAAAGGAAUUGACGGGGGCCCGCACAAGCGGUGGAUGAUGUGGAUUAAUUCGAUGCAACGCGAAGAACCUUACCUGGGCUUGACAUACACCGGACCGGGCUAGAGAUAGUCCUUCCCUUGUGGCUGGUGUACAGGUGGUGCAUGGUUGUCGUCAGCUCGUGUCGUGAGAUGUUGGGUUAAGUCCCGCAACGAGCGCAACCCUCGUUCUAUGUUGCCAGCACGUUAUGG